rnacentral:rRNA from 1 species
UCCUACGGGACGCAGCAGUGAGGAAUAUUGGUCAAUGGCCGCAGGGCUGAACCAGCCAAGUCGCGUGAGGGAUGACGGUCCUAUGGAUUGUAAACCUCUUUUGUCAGGGAGCAAAGGGCGCCACGUGUGGCGCUUUGCGAGUACCUGAAGAAAAAGCAUCGGCUAACUCCGUGCCAGCAGCCGCGGUAAUACGGAGGAUGCGAGCGUUAUCCGGAUUUAUUGGGUUUAAAGGGUGCGUAGGCGGGCUUUUAAGUCAGCGGUAAAAAUUCGGGGCUCAACCCCGUCCGGUCGUUGAAACUGGGGGC